UUAACAACGACACCAGUAUCCACAGGACCUUAACUUGGAAGAAUUUCAGGGGCUAAGGGGAAGACUCUGUGCACAUCCUAGAAGUGCCCAGCUGCCUUCUUAUUGUAACCCCAGUGACCAUAUCUGGGUUUACAUGCCUGUUUCUAGACCAGU
rnacentral:lncRNA from 1 species